UUUUAGGCCUUGGGUUUGACCCUUGCCCUAGCCACCGGGACGGUGACAUUUAAGGGUGGGUGAAUGUAGCGGGUAGGGCGUAGGCAGCGGGAAUUGCGCCUUGAUUGAAUCAGGUGGUGGGCGUUUGGCGUUGCACCUUUAAAUGUAGUAAGCUGGCGGUUCCUCUGAUUAGUGUUACUAUAGAUUCUUGGUUCCUUGGACUCUUGGUUGGUUGUACGAGUUGAUCUCGACUCGGUGUUUGUGGGUUAUUCAGUGCGGUGGUUACAUCUAGCUCCGUCUUCACGAGCCCUCACCGGCUACGGAUUGUGUCUGCGUGUUUCAAUGAAAAUUCGCUGAUUUAGAGUAUGACCACUACAAGUUUGCCGAGUGCUGUUUGUUGUGCUGAGAAUAUUGGCCUGGGAAUGUAUGAGUAAAAACCAGACGGAAUAAGGCGAUUGCUACAGUAUUACAACUAAACAAGCUCUUGGUUCGACGCUGCGGUCUGUGUCCAUACAGGAGGACCGUCAUAUGCCAUCUUGGCCACUGUUUUUCCUGUGCCCUGUUUUUAGUAUUCAGUUGUGUGUGUGUGUGUGUGUGUGUGUGUGUGGGAGGAAGGCCCACUGUGUUGCUCAUUAGUCUUCAUCUGUGUGCGUUGCUGUAUGUUUUAUGUUUGUAUCUUGGGCCAUUGGGUUGGUGCAAUAUCCUGGGACGGGGAAUAACAAUUUUGUUGUGUGGUCACUGGUUUGCUGAGUGCAAAUUUAUUUUGUUUUCUGUGCAUAUGAUUUGUGAUGUGCCUUAUUUAUUCUGUAUUUGCUGAUUUGAGUUUUGCUGAUUUUUGUUAUACACAUUUUGAUUUUGCACUUUGUUGUCCCUGUCCCUGAAUUUGUUGACCAGAGGCCUAAUGUU